rnacentral:misc_RNA from 1 species
AACGCACAUUGCGCCCGCCAGUAUUCUGGCGGGCAUGCCUGUCCGAGCGUCAUUUCAACCCUCGAACCCCUCCGGGGGAUCGGCGUUGGGGAUCGGGACCCCUCACACGGGUGCCGGCCCCUAAAUACAGUGGCGGUCUCGCCGCAGCCUCUCCUGCGCAGUAGUUUGCACAACUCGCACCGGGAGCGCGGCGCGUCCACGUCCGUAAAACACCCAACUUUCUGAAAUGUUGACCUCGGAUCAGGUAGGAAUACCCGCUGAACUUAA